rnacentral:rRNA from 1 species
AUUGAACGCUAGCGGGAGGCUUUACACAUGCAAGUCGAACGAGUGGCGGACGGGUGAGUAAUAUAUCGGAACGUGCCCGAUAGCGGGGGAUAACUACUCGAAAGCGUGGCUAAUACCGCAUACUAUUGAAGCGGCCGAUAUCGGAUUAGCUAGUUGGUGGGGUAAAGGCUCACCAAGGCAACGAUCCGUAGCUGGUUUGAGAGGAGGACCAGCCACACUGGGACUGAGACACGGCCCAGACUCCUACGGGAGGCAGCAGUGGGGAAUAUUGGACAAUGGGGGAAACCCUGAUCCAGCCAUCCCGCGUGUAUGAGAAGGCCUUCGGGUUGUAAAGUACUUUUGGCGGGGAAGCGGUAUCUGCAGAAUAAGCACCGGCUAACUACGUGCCAGCAGCCGCGGUAAUAC